UAGGGAAUCUUCCACAAUGGGACGCCAAGUCUGAUGGAGCAACGCCGCGUGAGUGAAGAAGAUCUUCGGAUCGUAAAACUCUGUUGUUAGAGAAGAACACGAGUGAGAGUAACUGUUCAUUCGAUGACGGUAUCUAACCAGCAAGUCACGGCUAACUACGUGUCAG
rnacentral:rRNA from 1 species